rnacentral:rRNA from 1 species
UACGUAGGUGGCAAGCGUUUGUCCGGAGUUAUUGGGCGUAAAGCGCGCGCAGGCGGUUGGGUAAGUCUACGGUGAAAGCGCUCGGCUUAACUGGGCGAGUGCCGUGGAGACUGCCGAGCUUGAGGGGAGCAGAGGCGAGUGGAAUUCCGGGUGUAGUGGUGAAAUUCGUAGAUAUCGGGAGGAACACCAGUGGCGAAGGCGGCGAUCUGGGAAGAUACUGACGCUGAGGUGCGAAAGCGUGGGGAGCAAACAGG